GACGAACCGUGCGAACGUUGUUCGGAAUCACUGGGCUUAAAGGGCGCGUAGGCGGGUUCGCAAGUCUGUGGUGAAAGCCUCCAGCUUAACUGGAGAAGUGCCAUGGAUGCUGCGCAUCUUGAGGAGGGUAGGGGCGUCUGGAACGGUCGGUGGAGCGGUGAAAUGCGUUGAUAUCGACCGGAACUCCGGUGGCGAAGGCGAGGCGCUGGACCCUUUCUGACGCUGAGGCGCGAAAGCCAGGGGAGCAAACGGG
rnacentral:rRNA from 1 species